rnacentral:rRNA from 1 species
AACGAACGCUGGCGGCAUGCCUAACACAUGCAAGUCGAACGAGACCUUCGGGUCUAGUGGCGCACGGGUGCGUAACGCGUGGGAAUCUGCCCUUGGGUUCGGAAUAACUCGCCGAAAGGCGUGCUAAUACCGGAUGAUGUCGUAAGACCAGAGAUUUAUCGCCCUAGGGAUGAGCCCGCGUAAGAUUAGGUAGUUGGUGAGGUAAAGGCUCACCAAGCCGACGAUCUUUAGCUGGUCUGAGAGGAUGAUCAGCCACACUGGGACUGAGACACGGCCCAG